rnacentral:lncRNA from 1 species
GCCAAUUUCCCGAUUAUCACGCAGGAAUAUAGAGUCAGAUCUAAGAUGCUCAAGGGUGAACUGAACAAAAAAAAAUUACCGUGUAUGUCUAUACGGUAACACUAAGCAGGGUUUAUGUUAUGACAACACUUAGAAAUUGAUAACAACAAUUAUUCCUAUUUGUUAUUUUAGGAAGUACACGUAGGGAGCAGUCAGGGUAAUUUCGGCCUACUUUGUUUCAGGCAAUAAUCACUGUAACGGUAAUAAAAAAGACUAGAGCGACGGUGUUUUUACAAAUCAGGAUUUAUCUCGAGAUUAAACAACAUUAACAAAAACAUUGCUAAUACUCUCAAUUAUUUUUU